GGUCCACUAAAGAACCGAUGUAGCAUUUUCUUUAUCUUCUUCGUGGUCUCAAAACCCUCCCGUACAUUCACUUCCCCUCUCUAGCAAAUCAUGUCUCACUCUUGAAGCACUUUUUCUCAAGGAAACUCAACGAAAUUGACAGCCGCAACGAAAUCGACAGCCACGACGAAACCUGCAACCAUGGUUAAACCUAGUGUUGGCAAGGGUUGUGUGAUUCUCGCGUGGUAGGUUGUGGAGGGAGAGAGGAAGGGGGAGUCACUGUUGUUGGAUAGGAUAAGGGUUUUUUCGGAGGCCGCCAACACUGUUAUCAUUGCUCGUGGAUGGGGAGAGGAAAAAGAAGGGGAAAUCAUUGACCUUGGACCAAUUUGUGGUGACGGAGACUGUGUUUGUGCUCACUAACAAGCGUAUUUGCUCCUUUUAGGCACAUCUUCAUUACGUGCUUCACCUCUCACCUCAGUUCUGGCCGAACCUAUUGGUCCAUCACAAGUCGAAAAGUUGUGGAAUAGGAGAUGGGUUAGUCAUCCACCCAGCAAGUGAUGUUGGAAGAGCAGCUGGUGUGGGUGGAUAAUUUGUUGUUAGCUGAGCCAAUUUUGAUGUAAAAUGGUGCUGUUUGGCUAGCUGAAGUUUCAACUAAUGUGGUUGCACCUCAUGGCCCGGAUAAGGAUCAAGUGUCUCCCAAUAAUUCGCUGGAAGGAAUGUCUCCUUUGGAGGAUGAUUUUGUUCAUCAUGAUUUAGCCUUGGCUGAAGCCACUGCACCAGAUUUUCAGCCAUUCUUGAGCAAGAAUAAUAAGAAGAAAAAGACUGGUUCUAGUGUUUAAACCUGCAGCUGCCAAGACCAAAUCUAAAGCAUCUAAAUCAAAAUAAUUGUUGAUGAUACUUGAUUAUGUUUAUGUUGUUUUUAAAUAAAUUUUUCAGUACUAACGUGUCACUUAUUUUCUGGAAGAUUUCAUAUCUAGUUUUUAAUAUUCAGCUGGUUGCAUUUUCAUCUUUGAAGCAUGCCUCUGAACCAACUUUUAUUUUUCAACUGCUUGCUUUUGCUUGGUGGCAGUUGCUGGGUAGUUUGGCUAAAGAAAUUACACGUAUCCUAAUGACUCAACCAACAAACAAUCCAAUUUAUUCUCUUCAUAUAACUUUCAGUUUUGUUAAAAAAUCUUUUGCACCAUUUUUAUUAAUCUUUAAUAUUAGUAUAUUGAAUUGUUUUAAGCUUGUCCAAACUUUUACUGUUGAUAUUGGCAUGAAUUUUUUCCAGCCCUUUAAAAUAGGAUUUUGUGAUGUAAAUAUUGUUGUAUUAAUCAAUUCAAAAUACAAUAUUCUUUUUGGAGGGAUCUUGGUUUAAAUUUUUUUGCAGAAAAUAGUCUCCCAAAGAGCUUCAUUUGGUGUUUUUGUUCUACUUUUAUCUCUCCUUCUAUUAUAUCCUUCUCCGAUCAAUCUAUUAUUUUUUCGCAUGUCAUUGGUGUAGACAAGUUCUUUGUUGCAGUGUGUUAUGCUAGUAGUGAUUAUAGAAAAUGUAGAAAUUUAUGGAGUGAGUUAAUUUCUAUUCAAACUCAAUCCUGGGGCAUGGGUUUGUUUAGGUGAUUUUAAUGAGAUUAGUAAUCAUGGUGAAUAUAGGGGACCCGAACAUCCUUAUUUGGCAUGUAUGAAUGAUUUUGUUUCUUCUAAAGAUUCAUGUCAGUUAUUAGAUAUUACUUGCACUGGUUCUCCAAACACUUGAACAAAAAAUCGAUCUAGAUUAGCUAGGACAGAUAAAAGGCUUGAUAGAUUCAUGUGUAAUGAUUUUGUUCUCUUGUAUAAUUCUUGGAAGUUGAAACCUGCUACUUAAAUGAUAGUGCAACACAAGACAUUGUGUUUAAACACUUUGCUUUAGCUGAAUCUCAAUAAAUGCAGUUGGACAGUAGUUAUUGUCGAAAGGUUAAAGGUUAACAUUUGUCUUUUGUUUUUAUUUGUAUUUUAAUAUAGAGGAAUUAUAUAAUAGAUCAAUCACAUACUUUUAUUUUAUUAUUAACCAUUAUCAACGAUUACAUGUGGAUUUUCAUUUCUCAGAUCAUGACACAACUCACAAGCAUAAGAAUAGAAAUCAGCAAAGUGACUUAUUGUGACAUUGGUAGCAUUAAAAGUGACUUAUUGGCAGAAAGUUACAGCAAACUCAAUCUGGCCCUUUAGGUGAUGCACGAGUGUUUUAAGACCCUAAAGGAAUCUUUGACUAGCAGAGAUCUCGUGGAAGAUGUUAUAUUCAGCAAAUGGGUUUCUAUACUGUGCUACUUGAGAGAAAUGAAGAACUGAUCAGUGUUGCAACUGUUAGGGUCUAUGGGAAGAAGGUAGUAGAAGUACCUCUUGUUGGUACCAGAUUACAAUAUCGUCGACAUGGAAUGUGCCAUAUCUUAAUUAAUGAGCUUGAAAAGAGUCACAACCAAAAUGUGAUGUAUACCAAGUAGAAGAGAUUGACGAAGGAAGGAUAGUGGAUCAAAAAAUAGAGUGGUAGCCAUCAGUUUGUAACCAUUAAAAACUUUCCAUGGAAAGAAAAUAACUUACAAGAAAAGAUAACACUUUAUAUGGAGGUGCAUACUAUGGCUCUCACGUGAUGCAGUACGAUGAUGUAGGGUUCGACAAUGAUAUUCUCUUCCUAUAUAUGGCUAUAUCUUAUUUCGUAUUGUUAUUGAAACUUGAGAGGUUGCUAGUAAACCUUUUUUUCCCUUGAAUGUUUUGGCCUGAAUGUUAAAACUAUAAGAAAAUAAAACUUGUAAUUUGAUGGCGCAUUUUAUUUUGUUACCCACUAAGUUUUGCUUAUUAUAUUGUAUAUCUU